ACGCUCGACACCUACGGGAGGCAGCAGUGGGGAAUAUUGCACAAUGGGGGAAACCCUGAUGCAGCGACGCCGCGUGAGCGAAGAAGUAUUUCGGUAUGUAAAGCUCUAUCAGCAGGGAAGAAAAUGACGGUACCUGACUAAGAAGCCCCGGCUAACUACGUGCCACAGCCGCGGUAAUCUGGAGCGGGCUGGCAAGGC
rnacentral:rRNA from 1 species